GGGUUGUGAGGUUAAGCGACUAAGCGUACACGGUGGAUGCCCUGGCAGUCAGAGGCGAUGAAGGGCGUGCUAAUCUGCGAUAAGCGCCGGUAAGGUGAUAUGAACCGUUAUAACCGGCGAUACCCGAAUGGGGAAACCCAGUGUGAUUCGUCACACUAUCAUUACGUGAAUACAUAGCGUAAUGAAGCGAACCGGGGGAACUGAA
rnacentral:rRNA from 1 species